GACGAACGCUGGCGGCGUGCUUAGCACAUGCAAGUCGAACGGAAAGGCCCUGCUUUUGUGGGGUGCUCGAGUGGCGAACGGGUGAGUAACACGUGAAUAACCUGCCCUUGACUUUGGGAUAACUUCAGGAAACUGGGGCUAAUACCGGAUAGGAGCUCCUGCUGCAUGGUGGGGGUUGGAAAGUUUCGGCGGUUGGGGAUGGACUCGCGGCUUAUCAGCUUGUUGGUGGGGUAGUGGCUUACCAAGGCUUUGACGGGUAGCCGGCCUGAGAGGGUGACCGGCGACAUUGGGACUGAGAUACGGCCCAGACUCCUACGGGAGGCAGCAGUGGGGAAUAUUGCACAAUGGGCGGAAGCCUGAUGCAGCAACGCCGCGUGCGGGAUGACGGCCUUCGGGUUGUAAACCGCUUUCGCCUGUGACGAAGCGUGAGUGACGGUAAUGGGUAAAGAAGCACCGGCUAACUACGUG
rnacentral:rRNA from 1 species